CUGGCGGCGCGCCUAACACAUGCAAGUCGAACGGCACCUAUCUUCGGAUAGAAGCGAGUGGCGAACGGCUGAGUAACACGUGGAGAACCUGCCCCCUCCCCCGGGAUAGCCGCCCGAAAGGACGGGUAAUACCGGAUACCCCCGGGCGCCGCAUGGCGCCCGGGCUAAAGCCCCGACGGGAGGGGAUGGCUCCGCGGCCCAUCAGGUAGACGGCGGGGUGACGGCCCACCGUGCCGACAACGGGUAGCCGGGUUGAGAGACCGACCGGCCAGAUUGGGACUGAGACACGGCCCAGACUCCUACGGGAGGCAGCAGUGGGGAAUCUUGCGCAAUGGGGGGAACCCUGACGCAGCGACGCCGCGUGCGGGACGGAGGCCUUCGGGUCGUAAACCGCUUUCAGCAGGGAAGAGUCAAGACUGUACCUGCAGAAGAAGCCCCGGCUAACUACGUGCCAGCAGCCGCGGUAAUACGUAGGGGGCGAGCGUUAUCCGGAUUCAUUGGGCGUAAAGCGCGCGUAGGCGGCCCGGCAGGCCGGGGGUCGAAGCGGGGGGCUCAACCCCCCGAAGCCCCCGGAACCUCCGCGGCUUGGGUCCGGUAGGGGAGGGUGGAACACCCGGUGUAGCGGUGGAAUGCGCAGAUAUCGGGUGGAACACCGGUGGCGAAGGCGGCCCUCUGGGCCGAGACCGACGCUGAGGCGCGAAAGCUGGGGGAGCGAACAGGAUUAGAUACCCUGGUAGUCCCAGCCGUAAAACGAUGGAGCGCUAGGGGGUGGGGGGGGCGAUCCCCCCCGUGCCGCAGCCAACGCAUUAAGCGUCCCGCCUGGGGAGUACGGCCGCAAGGCUAAAACUCAAAGGAAUUGACGGGGGCCCGCACAAGCAGCGGAGCAUGUGGCUUAAUUCGAAGCAACGCGAAGAACCUUACCAGGGCUUGACAUAUGGGUGAAGCGGGGGAGACCCCGUGGCCGAGAGGAGCCCAUACAGGUGGUGCAUGGCUGUCGUCAGCUUGUGUCGUGAGAUGUUGGGUUAAGUCCCGCAACGAGCGCAACCCCCGCCGCGUGUUGCCAUCGGGUGAUGCCGGGAACCCACGCGGGACCGCCGCCGUCAAGGCGGAGGAGGGCGGGGACGACGUCAAGUCAUCAUGCCCCUUAUGCCCUGGGCUGCACACGUGCUACAAUGGCCGGUACAGAGGGAUGCCACCCCGCGAGGGGGAGCGGAUCCCGGAAAGCCGGCCCCAGUUCGGAUUGGGGGCUGCAACCCGCCCCCAUGAAGUCGGAGUUGCUAGUAAUCGCGGAUCAGCAUGCCGCGGUGAAUGCGUUCCCGGGCCUUGCAC
rnacentral:rRNA from 1 species